GAUGAACGCUGGCGGCGUGCCUAAUACAUGCAAGUCGAGCGAACGGACGAGAAGCUUGCUUCUCUGAUGUUAGCGGCGGACGGGUGAGUAACACGUGGAUAACCUACCUAUAAGACUGGGAUAACUUCGGGAAACCGGAGCUAAUACCGGAUAAUAUAUUGAAUAGCAUGGUUCAAAAGUGAAAGACGGUCUUGCUGUCACUUAUAGAUGGAUCCGAGCUGCAUUAGCUAGUUGGUAAGGUAACGGCUUACCAAGGCAACGAUGCAUAGCCGACCUGAGAGCGUGAACGGCCACACUGGAACUGAGACACGGUCCAGACUCCUACGAGAGACAGCAGUAGGGAAUAUUCCGCGAUGGGCGAAAGACUGACGGAGCAACGCCGAGUGAGUGAUGAAGGUCUUCGGAUCGUAAGACGCUGUUAUUAGGGAAGAACAGAUGUGUAAGUAACUGUGCACAUCUUGACGGUACCUAAUCAGAAAGCCACGGCUAACUACGUG
rnacentral:rRNA from 1 species